CUUUCUGGUCUGUAACUGACGCUGAGAUUCGAAAGCAUGGGUAGCAAACAGGAUUAGAUACCCUGGUAGUCCAUGCCGUAAACGAUGAGUGCUAAGUGUUGGAGGGUUUCCGCCCUUCAGUGCUGCAGCUAACGCAUUAAGCACUCCGCCUGGGGAGUACGAUCGCAAGAUUGAAACUCAAAGGAAUUGACGGGGGCCCGCGCAAGCGGUGGAGCAUGUGGUUUAAUUCGAAGCAACGCGAAGAACCUUACCAGGUCUUGACAUACCAUGAAAAGCUAAGAGAUUAGUCUUUCCCUUCGGGGACAUGGAUACAGGUGGUGCAUGGUUGUCGUCAGCUCGUGUCGUGAGAUGUUGGGUUAAGUCCCGCAACGAGCGCAACCCUUAUUAUCAGUUGCCAGCAUUCAGUUGGGCACUCUGGUGAGACUGCCGGUGAUAAACCGGAGGAAGGUGGGGACGACGUCAAAUCAUCAUGCCCCUUAUGACCUGGGCUACACACGUGCUACAAUGGUCGGUACAACGUGUUGCGAACUCGCGAGGGCAAGCAAAUCACUUAAAACCGAUCUCAGUUCGGAUUGUAGGCUGCAACUCGCCUGCAUGAAGCUGGAAUCGCUAGUAAUCGCGGAUCAGCGUGCCGCGGUGAAUACGUUCCCGGGCCUUGUACACACCGCCCGUCACACCAUGAGAGUUUGUAACACCCAAAGUCGGUGGGGUAACCCUUCGGGGAACUAGCCGCCUAAGGUGGGACAAAUGAUUAGGGUG
rnacentral:rRNA from 1 species